UACGUAGGUGGCAAGCGUUACUCGGAAUCACUAGGCGUAGAGCGCAGGUAGGAGGUUUGGUAAGUCUAUUGUGAAAGCUCCCGGCUUAACUGGGAGAGGUCAAUGGAAACUACCAGGCUGGAGUGCGGUAGAGGUAGCUGGAAUUCCCGGUGUAGCGGUGAAAUGCGUAGAUAUCGGGAGGAAUACCUAUGGCGAAAGCAGGCUACUGGACCGUCACUGACUCUGAUCUGCGAAAGCUAGGGGAGCAAACAGG
rnacentral:rRNA from 1 species